UUUACACGUUAUGAAAUAACGUUAUACCAAUUUACGAUUUACUAUAAACGUUUGAUAUGAAGCAGUAGGACAUUUCGGGAUUUUUGAUGACAGAAAGCCUCCAUACAGCAUGGUGUCUUUUCGGUGGAUUGACUUUAUCUGGCUGGACAUGGGGGGCAUGUUUUUGCCAUGGAACAGAGAGAAAAGGGCAGCAACAGGCACGUACAUCUUUUCAUCUUGCUCAGUUGUGCAACAUAUGGAAUGAGACAAGUUGCAGGACCAGUGGCUGUGAACAGCCAAAGACAAGACAGCCAUGGUACACAGGGAACUGGACUUCUUACAGUUCACACACACAGUUUGACAGUUUGUGUCCAGUGUCAUGGUAGUAGCCUGCUUGAUGUGGUCAGUUUGGGUCAGUUUGGGAUGAUGUACAUUGGACCCAAAGUGGAGCAGUGGUCAUUACUUUCCUCAGAUGACCCAUUGCCAUGACAGUAACUGGACUGCUCGCAGUGGUACAACUGGUUUACAUUGUUUGAGAAUAGAUAAUUGGGUUCAAUUUUCUUCCAGUCUCCAUACAGCAUGAUGUCUUUACCUGGCUGGACAUGGGAGACAUCUUUUGUUAACAUGAAAUAGACAGGAAAUGGCAGCUGCAGGAACAUCCUUUAUCAUCUAGUUGUAGAAGACACAGCAAGUUUCAGGACAGCCAUGGUAAUCAGUGGCUGAAGGACAAAUUCCUUGGUUGGCUGAGGUCUUUGAAAGAAGACAGCUGGCCUGUCCUAAGAACAGAGAAACAGCCUU